ACUUUUGCAGCUUUGGUGGGCUCCGGCUUCCUUCACUCCAGCCCACCGCGUCCGAGAGACUUAGCAGGGCGUCAAACUGGAGAGCGGAAGGAUGGAACCUUUUAUUCUCAGGUGGAGAGGAUUAAGCUUUGCGGUGUUAGCAGAAAAUGAUCGAGCUCCAGAAAAUGAUUUGGAGGUCAGAUUCGAUUUUAAAGUAGUACUAACAGGCCGGGCGCGGUGCCUCACGCCUGUAAUCCUAGCACUUUGGGAGGCCGAGGUGGGCGGAUCACCUGAGGUUAGGAGUUCGAGACCAGCCUGACCAACAUGGUGAAACCCCGUCUCUACUAAAAAUACAAAUAUUAGCCGGGCGUGGUGGCGGGCGUUUGUAAUCCCAAUUACUUGGGAGGCUGAGGCAGGAGAAUCGCUUGAACCCUGCAGGCGGAGGUUGCAGUGAGCCGAAAUCGCGCCACUGCACUCCAGCCUGGGUGACAGGACGAGACUUUGUCGCGAAAAAUAAAAUAAAACGGUACCAAUGGUAUUACGAUGUGUCACUUGGCCUGUGGAAGAGAGAGACUGAGUCUCAACCCGAGCUGUCUUGCAAAACACUAAUGGCUUACGUUCCGUAGUUUCACUCUUAUGUGUAGUUUUUAUAUUCCAUCAGGGUGAUCCCUUGGGGACUACGCUCCUUGAAACAAGGAGGACAGUUCUGCAGGUGUACCCAGCAGCUCCGAAGAGACAGCGACCAUCGAGAACAAGCCAUGAUGAUGAUGGUGGUUUGUCGAAAAGGAAAUGGGGAAAUGUGGGGAAAAGAGAGAUCAGACUGUUACUGUGUCUGUGUAGAAAGAAGUAGACAUAAGAGACUCCAUUUUGUUCUGUACUAAGAAAAAUUAUUCUGCCUUGAGAUGCUGUUAAUCUGUAACCCUACCCCCAACCCUGUGCUCCCUGAAACACGUGCUGUGUCAACUCAGGGUUAAAUGGAUUAAGGGCUGUGCAGGAUGUGCUUUGUUAAACAAAUGCUUGAAGGCAGCAUGCUUGUUAAGAGUCAUCAUCACUCCCUAAUCUCAAGUACCCAGAGACAAUACGCUGCGGAAGGCCGCAGGGACCUCUGCCUAGGAAAGCCAGGUAUUGUCCAAGGUUUCUCCCCAUGUGAUAGUCUGAAAUAUGCUGGCCGGGAAAGACCUGACCGUCCCCCAGCCCAACACCCGUAAAGGGUCUGUGCUGAGGAGGAUUAGUAAAAGAGGAAGGAAGGCCUCUUUGCAGUUGAGAUAAGAGGAAGGCAUCUGUCUCCUGCUCGUCCCUGGGCAAUGGGAUGUCUCGGUGUAAAACCCGAUUGUAUGUUCCAUCUACUGAGAUGGGGAAAACCGCCUUAGGGCUGGAUGUGGGACAUGCUGGCAGCAAUACUGCUCUUUAAGGCAUUGAGAUGUUUAUGUGUAUGCACAUCAAAAGCACAGCACUUUUUUCUUUACCUUGUUUAUGAUGCGGAGACGUUUGUUCACAUGUUUUCCUGCUGACCUUCUCUCCACUAUUACCCUAUUGUCCUGCCACAUCCCCCUCUCCGAGAAACGCCCAAUAAUGAUCAAUAAAUACUGAGGGAACUCAGA